AAGGGUGCCGUAAACCCUGUUAUAAAUCAAGGGAAAUGUGGAGCUUGCUGGUCAUUCGUCACGUGUGCAGUGGUAGAAGCUAUAAACAAGAUCAAGAA